UACGUAGGGGGCAAGCGUUGUCCGGAUUUAUUGGGCGUAAAGAGCGUGUAGGCGGCCAGGUAGGUCCGUUGUGAAAACUCGAGGCUCAACCUCGAGACGCCGAUGGAAACCAUCUGGCUAGAGUCCGGAAGAGGAGAGUGGAAUUCCCGGUGUAGCGGUGAAAUGCGCAGAUAUCGGGAAGAACACCCGUGGCUAAGGCGACUUCCUGGCCUGUUCUUGACGCUGAGGCGCGAAAGCUAGGGGAGCAAACGGG
rnacentral:rRNA from 1 species